rnacentral:rRNA from 1 species
GAUGAACGCUGGCGGCGUGCCUAAUACAUGCCAGUCGAGCGAACGGACGAGAAGCUUGCUUCUCUGAUGUUAGCGGCAGACGGGUGAGUAACACGUGGAUAACCUACCUAUAAGACUGGGAUAACUUCGGGAAACCGUAGCUAAUACCGGAUAAUAUUUUGAACCGCAUGGUUCAAAAGUGAAAGACGGUCUUGCUGUCACUUAUAGAUGGAUCCGCGCUGCAUUAGCUAGUUGGUAAGGUAACGGCUUACCAAGGCAACGAUGCAUAGCCGACCUGAGAGGGUGAUCGGCCACACUGGAACUGAGACACGGUCCAGACUCCUACGGGAGGCAGCAGUAGGGAAUCUUCCGCAAUGGGCGAAAGCCUGACGGAGCAACGCCGCGUGAGUGAUGAAGGUCUUCGGAUCGUAAAACUCUGUUAUUAGGGAAGAACAUAUGUGUAAGUAACUGUGCACAUCUUGACGGUACCUAAUCAGAAAGCCACGGCUAACUACGUG